rnacentral:rRNA from 1 species
AACGAACGCCGGCGGCAUGCCUAACACAUGCAAGUCGAACGAGACCUUCGGGUCUAGUGGCGCACGGGUGCGUAACGCGUGGGAAUCUACCCUUGGGUUCGGAAUAACUUCCCGAAAGGGAUGCUAAUACCGGAUGAUGUCGUAAGACCAAAGAUUUAUCGCCCAAGGAUGAGCCCGCGUAGGAUUAGCUAGUUGGUGAGGUAAAGGCUCACCAAGGCGACGAUCCUUAGCUGGUCUGAGAGGAUGAUCAGCCACACUGGGACGUGAGACACGGCCCA